AGAACCUGCCUGCCAUGGACAACCCUGCCAGGAACCAGAACCUGCCUGCCAUGGACAGCCCUGCCAGGAUCCUUUGCCAAACACAGGAAAGUGGAGGAAGAUCACAAGGUGCAAUCCCAGGAUAUCAGCAUGGGUAUCCAGGAGAGCGGGCUGGAGGAUUCCUGCAACCCAUGCGUGCUGUGUGUUGUCUUCGUCCCCUCAGAUAAGUAACUAUUUCUGAGCAACUGCAAAUACAAGACUGGUGUAAAAAGGAGUGUCUUUAUAAACAGAAAAGGGUGGUUAGGUUAAAAAUAAGAAACAGCAAACCUCUGGGUGUGGCUGCAACCUGGGCCUGAAGUUUUACAGCUUGCUUAGAAAAUUGUUCAUAACCCUUGCAUCUUUGCAUUUCUGGAUUAUAAAAUUGGAUUUUCCUGGCUGUUUUUUAAAAUUCGGCUGUUUACUGUUGGUUUGUCAGGAUUUAGGAUGUUUGGGGGAGGGUGGGCUGUGUGUUAGGCCAGGGUGUGCACAGUGUUCCUGUUGCCUUCUAACAGCUCCUUUUUCCCUCAUAAUUUUCCAGGCUGCAGGCGUCACUGCUCUCUCCACCACUGAGCAAGGAAACCUGCUGCUGAAUUUCUCCAUGCUUGGGAAAAGUUUAAUGAUUACAAAGCAUUGGAUCUGCAGGGGAUGAGAAGAAUCAUUUCCCAGAGAUUUUCUGCCAAAUGAAGACAAGACGACAGAAGUUUGAACAAGAUUUCUGCUGAACAAACCAAGAGAAUGUGACCAGGAGCCAGCCUGACCUCAUAGACUGAACGAGACAGAAUUUAUAGUGACUCUGACUGGAACCCAAGUACCUUUACUGGGUCUCCAGGAUGUAAAUAGUUCCAUGUUCUCUGUUUUUUUGGAUAGUUCCAUGUUCUCUGUUUUUCUGGAGUCUCAAAAUCAGUUCUGUUUUGUUUAUUUUCUUACUGUUCAAUGCAAAGCACCUGCAUACUUUCAUGUUUGUUUUAAGUAAAGUUUUACGUUCUCUUUGUUA